UUUUGUAAGCUUCGUGUGAAGUAAUAAAAUCCUAGUGUUCAAGACGUUCGGAUUAAGUAAUGAAGUGUAGCACAGCACUGGCUCUAAAGAAAAUUUCAAUUUUGCUGGAGUAAUAGUGAUUUGAAAAGAUUCUGGCCAGGGCAAGCGAGGUUGCACGAGAUGUCUGUUCUUGGUCUACGAAGCAGAAAGGCCUUCUUUCUUCUUGUUGCUGCUGUGGCCUUAGGACUUUAUUUUUGGACCACAAGAACACAAAUGAGGCACUUUGCUUUAUUUGCAUCAGACAUCGAGCGUACCAUUAUGAAAGAAGGUACAGCUGCUGAUGACAACAAAUUUACCUCUAAAUUACUUCAACCAGGGACUGUUCCCAAGCU